rnacentral:sRNA from 1 species
ACUCAGAAAGGCUGGGCCUCCUUCUUCGAUCCCAGUGACAGAAGCAGACUUGCCUCCUCAGAAGCUGGCCAUCUGUCUGGUUAUCUUCACUUACCGGGGUGAUGUUAAGAUUCAUCCUGCUGUUGCAUGUAUCACUGAGGAGUACGCCACUGUGGUUAUACCAAAAUUUGCCUCUUGAUUCACCAGGUCAGCACUUAUCACCCGGCACCUGUCUCUCCAGGACAUUCCACAGCUGUGGUCAGUCUGCCUGGCUCCCAGCAACACCUCUCAGCGAACAUGUUUGUAGCCCUGCACUCCUACUCAGCCCAUGGACCCGAUGAGCUGGACCUGCAAAAGGGAGAAGGCGUCAGGGUCCUGGGGAAGUGCCAGGACGGCUGGCUCAGGGGCGUCUCCUUGGUCACCGGGCGAGUUGGCAUCUUCCCAAACAAUUAUGUCAU